rnacentral:rRNA from 1 species
GUGAGGAAUUUUCCGCAAUGGGCGAAAGCCUGACGGAGCAAUGCCGCGUGAAGGAUGAAGGCCUAUGGGUUGUAAACUUCUUUUCUCAGAAAAGAAUUAUGACGGUAUCUGAGGAAUAAGCAUCGGCUAACUCUGUGCCAGCAGCCGCGGUAAGACAGAGGAUGCAAGCGUUAUCCGGAAUGAUUGGGCGUAAAGCGUCUGUAGGUUGUUUAAAAAGUAUGCUGUCAAAGAUUAGGGCUUAACCCUAGAUAGGCAGAAUAAACUUUUAAGCUAGAGUUUGGUAGGGGGAGAGGGAAUUCCCGGUGGAGCGGUGAAAUGCGGAGAUAUCUAGAGGAACACCCAAGGCGAAGGCACGCUGCUGGGCCAAUACUAACACUGAGAGACGAAAGCGAGGGGAGCAAAUGGGAUUAGAUACCCUGGUAGUCC